UCUACGGGGGGCAGCAGUGAGGAAUAUUGGUCAAUGGGCGCGAGCCUGAACCAGCCAAGUAGCGUGAAGGAUGACUGCCCUACGGGUUGUAAACUUCUUUUAUAAAGGAAUAAAGUGAGGCACGUGUGCCUUUUUGUAUGUACUUUAUGAAUAAGGAUCGGCUAACUCGGUGCCAGCAGCCGCGGUAAUACGGAGGAUCCGAGCGUUAUCCGGAUUUGUUGGGUUUAAAGGGAGCGUAGAUGGGUUGUUAAGUCAGUUGUGAAAGUUUGCGGCUCAACCGUAAAAUUGCAAUUGAUACUGGCAGACUUGAGUGCAGUUGAGGUAGGCGGAAUUCGUGGUGUAGCGGUGAAAUGCUUAGAUAUCACGAAGAACUCCGAUUGCGAAGGCAGCUUACUAAACUGCCACUGACAUUGAGGCUCGAAAGUGUGGGUAUCAAACAGGAUUAGAUACCCCAGUAGUC
rnacentral:rRNA from 1 species